rnacentral:rRNA from 1 species
AGGACUAACGCUGGCGGCGUGCCUAACACGUGCAAGUCGAACGAGAGUAGCAAUACUCUAGUGGCAGACGGGUGAGUAACACGUGGUCAACCUACCUUUAAGUGGGGGAUAACUAGCCGAAAGGUUAGCUAAUACCGCAUACGAUCUUCGCGUGGCAUCACAUGAAGAUGAAAGGAGCAAUUCGCUAAGAGAGGGGACUGCGUCCCAUUAGUUAGUUGGUGGGGUAAUGGCCCACCAAGACUCCGAUGGGUAGCUGGCUUGAGAGAGCGACCAGCCACACUGGAACUGAGACACGGUCCAGACUCCUACGGGAGGCAGCAGUGAGGAAUUUUCCGCAAUGGGCGCAAGCCUGACGGAGCGACGCCGCGUGUGGGAAGAAGGCCUUCGGGUCGUAAACCACUGUCGAAGGGGACGAUAUUGACGGUACCCUUGGAGGAAGCCCCGGCUAACUACGUGCCAGCAGCCGC